GGCGGUUUAAUUCUUUUGUUCUAUAUCUUAUGGGAAGACAUCUUGUGGUCAAAACAUAUUUUACCUGUCUGCAAAUAACAAUCUAUACAAUAACAAUUCUGUGAUUUGGAGUUUCAUAGAUAAGGUCAGUCCUAUAUCUUUCUUUAUUAAUUAUGCAAUAACUGUCCAAUAGUUCAUAUUUUACAGUUAUGCAUGUUGAGAUUGAAUGUCG
rnacentral:lncRNA from 1 species